ensembl:lncRNA
GUGGUUGUGAUCAUUGUCUUACCUGGAAAUCAAUUAUCUACUGGCGUCAGUAUCAGCACCACACCGGAUCCUUUUUAGCUUUUAGUGACACCUGAUGGUCUCUAAGUGUAAUUGGAACACAAUACGAUAUGCAAAUCACUUCCGCUAAUCCUCUUGGAACUUUAUUUUGGUGAUUGUUGUGUAGAAAAUCACAAUAAUCAAAUGAACAAAGCGCUUCUCAACGUGGCCACAGCGUGAAUCAGGUAUGACGGCGUGACCACGUGGAUCGGACACGCUGACAAUCCACAAACAACGGACGUGAUCGCUUUCCUGCUGACGGGGUCGGGACGCUGCGAGCGCACCUCCGUCCCUGCGCGAAGAAGCAGCAGCAGAUCGAGCCGGCCAGCAUCUUGUUCUGCAGCAUGUGUGAAUGAAGCCAUCUGCUCAUCAUCACUUAAAUGUUUUUGUCUGAGCCAAUUACGUUAAUUAAGAAUGCUAGACGGAUCUGAGGGCAUGCUGAGUGCCAGCCCCCGCGUCCAUGUCCCGGAUUAACCCCUGGAGCCCACAAACAUGCACACACAUACUCUGCUGAUCUAGUCAUGCUUCAUUUAGUAGAAACACAUGGCUGAUAUUGUUUGAAUUAUUUAGCCCUUUGUAGCAUUAGCGAGAGUCACACACACACAUCGACAGGAGAGGCCAAAUCGGGUUCACCUUUUCCCACCAGGAAUACACAACCAAAGAAGAAAAACAUAAUGUUGUUUGUGACUUAUUGACACAAACGGCACAAUCUUCAGACGAUAUGACAAAUAUUAGGCGACAAGACGUCUCUCUCUUCCGCUGCCACGCUUUUUAUUUCUGAACACGCGCACCGAAAACAAACAAAAAACAUCAGUAGCUCUUGGGUCUGGUAUUUGGAUGCUUGUUUAAAAUGUGGAGCAGUGUACUGUCAGGGAGACGGGUAGCAGGAAGAGAUUUCAUUUAGAUAGAGCUUCUUCUCUAGCCGUCGAGGUAAAUGUAUUUUUAAGGCGAUCAAAAGAGGAAAUCUUGUUCUCAAAGUCUCAUUUGAAUGAAACUAGAGUGUUCUCUGGAGUAAAUGCAUGUAUUUGUCUGCUUGGGUGUGUCGGUCUCGGCUGACUGUGUGUGGCCGUAUCUGUGUGUGUGUGUGUGUGUGAAGAGCACUUUGAUGGAAGGCUGCCCAUGGAUGAACAAAACGCAAUUUCUGUCUCGCUGACUCUUGUCUUUAUCUGCUUCACUUGCUGCAAUAUGCAACGCGCCCACAGUCACUCUGCCCCCGCAGAAAACGUCUUGUUUUGAACUUUUCUGUGUUUCUGUCAUCUUUGUUUGUGGUUUUCUUCUCAAGUAGUUUGAUUCAUUUCCAGCCGGGAUGACAGGGUCCUAUAAAUAAGAUAUCCAAUCUUAUUCUGGGUUUCAUGUCAGAUUUUUUAGGUUGCGACAUUCAGUUGUUCUCUCCUGCACAGUCCAAGGAAUAUAGAUGGUGUCACAG